GGGUGUAUAGGGAUUAAGAACUU
rnacentral:piRNA from 1 species